rnacentral:rRNA from 1 species
UUUAGCAGCCAUAUUUUCUUGUGAGUUCCAGAUCCUGUCAAAUCUUGGAAGCUAAGCAGGGCUAGGCCUGGAUAGUACUUGGAUGGGAGACCACCUUGGAAGACCAGGGGCCACUAGAC